rnacentral:piRNA from 1 species
UAGACAGCAGAAGGAAAGAAAACUCAGC